rnacentral:rRNA from 1 species
GCAUGUUUGUGGGUGGAAAGUUUUUCGGCUUGGGAUGGGCUCGCAGCCUAUCAGCUUGUUGGUGGGGUGAUGGCCUACCAAGGCGACGACGGGUAGCCGGCCUGAGAGGGCGACCGGCCACACUGGGACUGAGACACGGCCCAGACUCCUACGGGAGGCAGCAGUGGGGAAUAUUGCACAAUGGGCGGAAGCCUGAUGCAGCGACGCCGCGUGAGGGAUGACGGCCUUCGGGUUGUAAACCUCUUUCAGCAGGGACGAAGCGCAAGUGACGGUACCUGCAGAAGAAGCGCCGGCCAACUACGUGCCAGCAGCCGCGGUAAGACGUAGGGCGCGAGCGUUGUCCGGAUUUAUUGGGCGUAAGAGCUCGUAGGCGGCUUGUCGCGUCGACUGUGAAAACCCGUGGCUCAACUGCGGGCCUGCAGUCGAUACGGGCAGGCUAGAGUUCGGUAGGGGAGACUGGAAUUCCUGGUGUAGCGGUGAAAUGCGCAGAUAUCAGGAGGAACACCGGUGGCGAAGGCGGGUCUCUGGGCCGAUACUGACGCUGAGGAGCGAAAGCGUGGGGAGCGAACAGGAUUAGAUACCCUGGUAGUCCACGCUGUAAACGUUGGGCGCUAGGUGUGGGGGGCCUCUCCGGUUCUCUGUGCCGCAGCUAACGCAUUAAGCGCCCCGCCUGGGGAGUACGGCCGCAAGGCUAAAACUCACAGGAAUUGACGGGGGCCCGCACAAGCGGCGGAGCAUGCGGAUUAAUUCGAUGCAACGCGAAGAACCUUACCUGGGUUUGACAUCGCCGGAAAUCCUGCAGAGAUGUGGGGUCCUUCGGGGCCGGUGACAGGUGGUGCAUGGCUGUCGUCAGCUCGUGUCGCGAGAUGUUGGGUUAAGUCCCGCAACGAGCGCAACCCUCGUCCCAUGUUGCCAGCAAUUC